rnacentral:misc_RNA from 1 species
UCUCUAUUUUUUUUUUUUUCAUUUGAUUUCAACUAGGUUGGAGCACAUUAUCUUUUUCCAAUCCACUUGAAUGGAUUUCAGUUUUUUAAACCAUUUUCCCUUAGCCCCUUUGCUCAGGUGAGCCGUUAACAGAAUUUGCAAAGAUUGUUUCCCAUUGCCUGAGGGCCCGUUUAAACAUGCUAUCCAAGAUAACUACCAGUAAGGGAAAUUUUAAAUAAGAACUAAAUAACCGGCAAGUAAGUUGCAUCAUCAAGCAUGAUGAUGUGUAAUUGAAUUUCAUCAUUAUUGGUUUGGUUUCUUCUGUUAUUUAUUUGUGGUUUUUCUUAUCUAAUAGCAUUUGUUGUUAUGGCGCAGGUAAGGAGGCUCUUUAUCGUUUCGUCCACUCAGCGCCUGUUCUUCCUAAAUUUUCUUGUGCAUCCAUGCCUGCCAGCUGUAGAAAAUUAGUUUCUGCCCAUAGCAACUCUGCCUUCAAGAGAGGAUCAAUAUGCAGGUGGGAUUCAACUUUGUCAUAAACAGUCUUGAUGCCUUAACAUCCUCUGCAGAAGAUGCAAGGCCCACAGCAUGCUUAAAAUGGAUCCGCAAUAUGUACCCAUCCAUCUGUGAAGCUACAACCUUUGCCAGCUCCUACAUUGCGUCAUUUGGAGGACCCAUAUGUUGCUAGAAUCCAACACAAUCAUUCCCACAAGUUUUGGAGACUCAGUAUAUUCGGCAGAGGGUCUUACCGAUUACCAUCACAACCUGCUUUAUAUGGAGCCAUGGUAAACAUCAAUUGUGUCCAUCAAGCUAUGGAACCACAAACUCUAUCAGUUCGAACUGCCCCUUGCCAUCCCACAGAUGCUCAACAGGUGGGCUUGCUUGGGAAUGCAAACAAGGAAGCACCGUUGCUGUAACAGAAGCAAGAAAACUAGUUUGAGGGUCAAAUCAGUUUUGAUAUGACGGAUAGUGGAUGUGUAUUUUUGUUUGAUAAAAGUAGUUACAUGGGUUUCAUUUGGCUUGCAUUUUUCAAGUACUUCAUGUUUGGGGGAAGCAAAUUUUAUGUCUGAAUGCUAGUCAAUCAUUAUUUGCGAGCGCGCAUGUGUGGCAUCGGCGGGGAGAUGUUUCCUAAUAGUCAACACCUUGGCUCAACAAAUGAUCAUAAUCAGUUUAUCGUCAAAGAAGCAAGAAAUUGUUCUGCAUCAGGAAAAUGUUGUUCAGAAUUACAGUUACUUGCCUGCAACCGCCGUAGAAUAUAUAUAGUUGAAAGCACCAAAGCUUCAACGUCUGGACUGGCAGUGGGGAGUAUUCCUGGUCGUCCGUAUGCUGAUGUUGGGGUCACUUCAACCCAUCGUCGAACAAUUUGAGUUAAGAAGAGGCGUUAAAUUUACCGGAAUUGUAGAUAUGAUUUUCCAGUUACAUUUGAACAUCACCUUACGAGAAUCCAAGCAUUUGAUUGUUUUAUGAUCCAUUGUAAAUUUCCAUAUUCAUGAGAGUUGGUGCUUGCAUGUGGGAACUCUGGAGUAAUAUGCUAGUCUGUAACUAAUACUGAAUGGAAAUUGAUGGAUUACACGUCAUGUUACUAGGUAGUAAAAUCCAACUGUAACCCAAUAUUUGUAUUUUUUCGCUACCAUCAUUGAUGUAAUUCUCUUU